AUGCACCUCAGACAUCUCCUCCUCCCUGUCUUCCUGGGGCAACUGCUGGGCACCAUGGGGCAGAUCACCAUCACCCAGAAAGAAGCACAAGUCACAGUGAAGCGAGGAGACACCUUCCAAACAACAUGCACGUACCAGACCUUGUACUUUCAAGGCUUGCUCUGGUACCAGAUGAAGAAAGGCCAAGCUCCCCAGCUCAUCUCGUAUCAGGCAGUAGCUGGCUCCAGGCCAAGCGGCCGUUUCACCACGUUUCUGAACACCACGGGGAAAUACAGCCUCCUGCAGCUGCAGGAAGCCCAGCUCUCUGACAGCGCCUUGUACCUCUGUGCUGUGCAAGACACGCUGGUGCAGGGAGCUUCCUUGGCUGUGCAACAACCCAGGGGAGGGAGGGGGGGUUUCUAUGAC